UAGAGAUGGAGGGGAGGGGCUGACCGGCGGCAGCGAGGUAGUCUCCGCGCACUGAUUUCCUGAAAAAAAUUCAGCCGGUUUGGAUCUGUUAGUUGACACGGUUGAGGUCUGUGUUGGGUGUGGUUUGUGUGGAGAGCAGGGGUUUCAGGAAAUCGGUAGGGAGCUGUUCUGUACACGGUCUGCUUGCAUGUAGGGUAGCCAGCUCUGUGUGUUCUCAUCGAUUUAAGUCAAGUGCUAUGCUAGAAUUGGACAUGUUUGUAUGCUUUUCUGAAUUUAAACCGUAACCAGAUGCUUAAGGUGGUCAGGUUUCCCAACCUAGUUUUCUUGAUGUGGUCAGGCUUUUAAAAAAGCAUUUGGGGUAUUAGUUAGUUGAGCUCUAGCUUUUUCAGAAGACCACUACCGGUGAAUGGUUACAGAAUUUUGCAUGUCAUUAUACACUACUUUUUUUUUCUUUGAUACCACUGUUUGUGCUACUAAAAUCUAUAUUUCCUCUUAGGAUAGCAAAAUUUGCAUGUAUAUACUUAUAUUUGCUUUUGCUGAGUGAUGCUGUGUUUACGAGAGCAUGUCAUAACAAAAUUUGUGUUUGAGGUCAGAAUUAUAUCUUCGUGUGAUAUUCUCUGUCAUCCACUUCUUCAUUGUGUUGCACAGAUCCAUAUCUGCUUUUCUGCCUAUUCUUCAUAAAUUUUAUUUUAGACAAUCAUGGAGGCCCUCACCCGCUCCAUUUAUAUAAAUGAAACCAACUUCGCACACAACAAUCUUCUCUUCAUAAAAUGUACUCCCUCUGUAAACUAAUAUAAGAUCGUUUAGAUCACUAAAGAUCACUAAAGCAGUAAUCUAAAUGAUAUUAUAUUAGUUUACUGAUGGAGUAUUAGAUUACCAAUCAAUGAGGCAAGCUACCUCUGGCUCUGCAACCUUUUUCUCUUCCGAAUUUCUGUAGCUAUUUUGUUACCCCUAAUUAUCUAUACUGAUUCAUAGCUAAAGUGAGUGGUUAGUUUUGUACUAACAUGACAGCCCAUCAGUAUUUCUUGCCAGUCUUCAGUUUACAUUUUAGCCCCAUGGUAUGUAUCUUUUUUCUUCAGUUUGUCUAUUUUUCUCAGUUUGUUAUCAGUCUUUUUCAGUCAAUCUUUAGUUUCCUUUUUUAGCUCCCUUGCCUAUACAGUUUCUUUUCAUUUAGUAAGUGUUCAGUUGUUGAAUUUUACUUGUGCAUUUGAUUUUCAGUCUCAUGUUUCAUUAUUCAUUCUUCAGUUAGUGAGAUCUUUUUCCCAUGGCUCUUGUAGUUAGGACUUAGGACAAUGACCUCUUAUUUUCAGAAUUUUACGUGUAGCAUUAUUCAGUUUGUUUUUCUUUUAUGCAGUUACUUUUAUUUAGUUAAUGUUCAGUCCUUUAUGCUCAUUGUUCAUUAAGUCAACAUAUCUAUGGAAUUUUUCUAAUUUUCUAUAUUCAGUUUUAAUUUAGUUUCCCUUAUCUUCUUCAGUACUCCCUCCGUCCCGAAAAGCUUGUCUUAGAUUUAUCUAGAUAUGGAUGCAUCUACUAUACACUCCCUCUGUUUGGGACGGAGGUAAUAUAUCAGUUAAUCUUCAGUUUUCAGGCUAUAAACAAGAGUGCCAUCACUCACUUUAUUUCUUCUUUACUUAGUUCUCUUCAGUUUGCUCAUUCUUGUUUAGUAUUUCUCUCAGCCCCUUAUUUCCUCUUCAGCCAAUUUGUCUAUUUUUUUGUUCUUUCAUUCACUCAGUUUUAGAUUUUCAGUGCACAGAUACAAGGCUAUGUUUUUGCCUUUUGGAGCAGAACCCCACAUGCUUUUAUCUCAUUUUUUUCUCCUUUCCCCAGGCUAGGGGUAUCAUCCAACCUUUCUCUGAAAGAUUAAAAUAAUCUAACUAAUUUCACUCUGUAGAAUUUUUUUCAGACUCUAGGUUUUGGAAGGGUAGGUAGCUCUGGUUGUAUUAUGUUGAUGCAUGCCUCUAAUUUAAACAUGAGUGGUGUAUCUAAUUUAAAAAUGGUUCUGGCUGUCCAUUUUGUCAGUUUUUUUAUUCUGUCUUUGGUUGGGUAUCAUUUCUUCUUCAGUAUUUCAUUCUUCUUCAGUAUUCAGUCCUCCAUUUUUUUCCUGAGUAUUCUUUUGUAUGUCUAUGGGAUAGAAUGCAACAAGUAGUCAUACGAGACUAUCUUUGGUUUGAUUUACUUUUUUCAGUUUAUCCUUGUUACUGUUAAGUUUGCGGUGCUUCAAUUUCUACGGUUUAGCCUUUAACUUUAGUUAGUUCAGUUCUCUCAGUCGUGUUUUGUCGUCUAUCUGAUGAGAUUAUCAUCAUCAGCUUUGGUUGGUUCAGUUAUCAUUUAUUUUUUCAGUUAUUCAUUAUUCCUUAGUAUUACAUUUUUUCCCAUUCUUUGAGCUUACAUCAUUGUUCGAUCUCUCAGCCUCCACAGUUUUCUUCAGUACAAUUUUCAGUACUUAUCAUCUACGUACCAUUUUUCCAGUUUCUGCUGUCUUCAAUCUCGCAAGUUUCUUCUUCAUUUUGUUUCUUCAUUAUAUAUUUCUUCAAUCUAGUUUUCAAGUCUUCCUUUAUCACUUUUCAUUCUAAUCCUUCUGUUUUGGGUCUCGCUAUUUUCUGUCCUUUUUCAUUGUCUUUCGCCAUUCUUCCCUUGUCAAUCCGUGCUGGUGUCGUAUGGACUUUGUGCAGAGAAACAAAAAAUCGACAGGUACAUUGCUUUUGAGCUCAACACCCGAGGGUGGUUGCAUUGGCGAUGGGUGACGGGCACAACACAAAUUCAGGCAUAUGACGCUACACCAAUGUAUUACCGUUUUAAGGCUAACCUCAAGACAGGAAUAGCGGUGCUCUUUAGUACUCCCUCUGUCCCAAAAUAACUGUCUCAAAUCUUAGUACAAAUGUGUAUUAAAGUUAGUACAAAGUUGAGACACUUAUUUUGGGACGGAGGGAGUAUUCAUCUAAGCAUGAUGGUUGUACUGUCGAAUUCCAUGUCUUCAGUUUAGUCGGUUUGGGACAUCAAGUUAUUAUUCAAAGAGUUAUGUGUCACCAGUUACUUUGCGUGGGACACCAUUUUUUGUGUUUCAUGAAUAUGUGUACAUUUUGUAUAAGUUGUCAAAUAGACAAGACAGCCAUUUGUGAACGGA